rnacentral:rRNA from 1 species
GUCAUACGAGACUGCCGGGGGUCGAACUCGGAGGAAGGUGGGGAUGACGUCAAGUCAUCAUGCCCCUUAUGCCUAGGGCUGCACGCAUGCUACAAUGGCUGGUACAAAGGGCUGCAAUACCGUGAGGUGGAGCGAAUCCCAAAAAGCCAGUCUCAGUCCGGAUUGGAGUCUGCAACUCGACUCCAUGAAGUUGGAAUCGCUAGUAAUCGCGGAUCAGCACGCCGCGGUGAAUACGUUCCCGGGCCUU